rfam:Hordeum vulgare subsp. vulgare, WGS project CAJW01000000 data, contig: morex_contig_2040178
GCGAGGGUGAAGAAGAAAAUCAUUCGGAUUCCCAUUGAUUUGUAAAAAAAAAUGGGAUCUCUAACCAGCUACUAGUGACUCGU